rnacentral:rRNA from 1 species
UACGUAGGGGGCAAGCGUUGUCCGGAAUCAUUGGGCGUAAAGCGCGUGUAGGCGGUUCAGUAAGUCUGCUGUGAAAGUCCAGGGCUCAACCCUGGGAUGCCGGUGGAUACUGCUGGGCUAGAGUACGGAAGAGGCGAGUGGAAUUCCCGGUGUAGCGGUGAAAUGCGCAGAUAUCGGGAGGAACACCAAUUGCGAAGGCAGCUCGC